GAAUUACUCCUUCCGUCCACAAAAGAUGUCUCAAGUUUGUCAAAAUUUAGAUGUAUUUAAACAUGACUUAGUGUAUAGAUGCAUUCAAAUUUAGUCAAAAUUGAGACAUCGUUUUUUGGACGGAGGAAUAUGAU
rfam:Brachypodium distachyon strain Bd21 chromosome 2, whole genome shotgun sequence.